rnacentral:tRNA from 2 species
AGGAUAAUAGUUAAAAUAUUAACAUUUAAGUUGCAUUUAAAAAAUAUUGAUUUAUCAAUUUAUCUUA